GUUUGUGGUUGCUGUUGUUGGGCAGGGUUUUCCAUGGUGACUGUGGUGGUGACAGUGGAAGAAGACAUUGAUGUUGGUCGCAUCAUGGCAGUGUGGGUUGUGGUGGUGCUCGUAGGUUGAACCAUCAUUCAACUUAGAUAAAAGUCCGCUGCUCCAAAAAUGAAGACGAAUUGCAGAGACGCUUUGUCGAAGAGAGAGACGGAAAGAAAAUUUCG
rnacentral:misc_RNA from 1 species